rnacentral:rRNA from 1 species
UACGUAGGGGGCAAGCGUUGUCCGGAUUCAUUGGGCGUAAAGAGCGUGUAGGCGGCCAGGUAGGUCGGUUGUGAAAACUGGAGGCUCAACCUUCAGAGGUCGACCGAAACCAUCUGGCUAGAGUCCGGGAGAGGAGAGUGGAAUUCCUGGUGUAGCGGUGAAAUUCGUAGAUAUUGGGAAGAACACCGGUGGCGAAGGCGGCCAUCUGGACCGGUUCUGACGCUGAGGCGCGAAAGCGUGGGGAGCAAACAGG